GGAUGUCAGGGACAAGAUUUUAGACCUACACAAGGCUGAAAUGGGCUACAAGACCAUCGCCAAGCAGCUUGGUGAGAAGGUGACAACAAUUGGUGCGAUUAUUCGCAAAUGGAAGAAACACAAAAUAACGGGUAGUCUCCCUUGCUCUGGUGCUCCAUGCAAGAUCUCACCUUGUGGAGUUUCAAUGAUGAUCAUAAGGAAUCAGCUCAGAACUACAUGGGAGGAUCUUGUUAAU